ACCUUGGGCCUUGAAACCUGGAUCUCUGUGUAGAUUGAGAAUUACCUCUGAUUUAAAAUGGGUAAACUACAUCUUGUCUGUGCGUCAGCUUCCACACCAUAUUCCAGAGCUCUCACAGGGCCCAGUAAGGAAGAUGGAUGAGAUAAAAGGAAGAAUGUAGAAAUCUCUUCUACUGCACAUCUUGAGAAUAAGUUGGAUGCAGUGCACUGUGGUCUGGAGAUGGAGGGAGGAUUGAAAUAAUUCUGGCGGGGCCCUGAAAGCCUGAAAAUUCUGUCUUCUUAUGUCUCCCAGCACUUACCACCAAGGUACCAUUGGGAUUGAGUGUCCUGAAAAUCCCUAGCAGAAGACAUGAAUUAAUUAAUCAAAAGGCUGCUAUUUGAGGAUAAACAUCACCGGUGAUGCCUCCCAGGAGAAAAAGCUGCAGGUUCAGCAGAAACAGUGAAGAGCUCACUGGGGUGACUGUUGGCCCUGGAGACGAGGUCCCCGGGCUGUGACCCCUGGUUUAAAAUCCUUGUACCAUCCUGAAUUUCUUGUGUGAACUCGGCAUUCAUACCUUUCCACCAUAUUGUUAUCUUUUUUCGUAAAAUGAGGAUACUAUUUUUUUCAAAAAAUAAGGAUUUUGCAACAAGGCAAUAAAAGAGGUGGGGGGACCCAAGGGGUAGAUACCUGUAUGACCUUGAAAUUAAUCUCUGUGGACUUCUGUUUCCCAAUAUAUAUAUAAACAUAUAUGAAGUUUAACUAGAUGAUUAUAGGGAUUCUUCUAGGACUGAAGUUAUUACCCUGUGAUCUUGGCAAUGUGGCCAAGGGUGAAGAGGAUUGGUCUGGAAAUUGAGUGACUGGGUUCUAGACCUUAAUUCCUUGUGUGACUUUAGAAGAGUCCCUUAACCUCCAUGAGCCUGUUUCUUCAUCUGUAAAAUGGGAAUAAGAAAAGACACAUCAAAAUGAGAUCAUUGAUUGGAAGGCAGCACUUUGAAGAAGUAAAAUAUGUAAAUGCAGGAGGUUAUCAUUAUGAUCUGCUCCCUGAAUGAGAUGUAGGCAACACAUAUUACUCUGAGAAGGGCUACAUAGUCUUCACCAGAUUACCAAAAGGGUCCUGACACAAAAAAGGUUAAGAAUCCCUGUUUUACAUCUUACAUGGCAACAGCAAUCUUAUAAUGAUAAUCAACUGUGAAAGACUUAGCUGCUCUGAUCAAUACGAUGA